ACGCUCCGUAACCCCAGAGCCGAGAGCCAAAAACUCAAAACAACCGAAUCGAAGAUUCUAUGGUUUUCAGCCAAAAAAGAAAAAGAAAAAGAAAAAGAGGAAGAGGAAGAAGGUUCCGAUAUUGGGUUCAAGUUUAGGCAAUUUUCUCCGACCUGUCACCUCGAGGGCGACCCUGUCCAUAAUCGGAUCCGGUGACAGUUGAUUGGCGUCAAUAAAUCCCUCCUAGCAGGGGUGAGGCCAUCUCCCAACAACGAAGAAAAACAAGAAUGGAGGAUGCUGAUGGGUGAAUCAUCCCUUCACCGACCCACCGACUACAUGUUCUCGCUCGAACAUGGAGACUGGGAAAACCGAGGAUGAGCCGCAAUAGAGCAGGGAUGAAUGGCCUGUUCAUUUUCAAAAUUCCCUAACCAGCUUCGCAAGUUGAACCCCAAAAUUUUUAGGCCGUUAGAAGCCUGGCCGAGGCUCCAUGUGGGUUGCAAGAGCGAGAUCCUUCCAACACUAUCAAUGAUUGCAGUUGACUUGUCGUAUCUCGGGUCUAGCUUACGGGCAGAUGGAGAAAUUCCGGCUGGCAUAUCGGCCAGCUCCAGGCUGUCGGAAGAGGAUACAAGACAAAGAGGAGAGUGUGGGGAAGCUCUUGGACCAAGAGUAGCUCGAACGAGCUAUGUUAGUUUAGAGCCAAAGAAGCUCCACGCCCCUUUUACUUUUUUCGUCCUCGUUUAGCUGCUUCUCGCGGGAAAAAAAAAAAAAAAAAAAAAAAAAAAAAAAAAA
rnacentral:sRNA from 1 species